rnacentral:lncRNA from 1 species
UUUCAAACUCUUUUUUUUUUAAUCAGUAGAUAGUAAAAUAUGAGCAGAUUGAAAAUAGCAUUAGUGUUUUAGCUUAUGGAUUUAAAUUGUCAUCAGUUACUUGUGUUCAGUGCACACACACUCACCUCAUGGUGAGAACCAACAUAUAAACUCACCUUUAUGGUGAGAACCAUGAAGCUAUGUUGAUGAAUACAGACAUUUUCUAUUGUGGCCUUAGUUAAUGGUUAUAAUCUUAUACCAAUAUCUGAUCUUGUUCUUUAUAUUAUUUUUGAUUGCAGUAAACAGAUAUAUCAAAGAGCUUUGUUCUAAGGUUUGGAUGAAAUCUGAUAGCACAAAUUAACAC